GACGAACGCUGGCGGCGUGCUUAACACAUGCAAGUCGAACGAAGAGCGAUGGAAGCUUGCUUCUAUCAAUCUUAGUGGCGAACGGGUGAGUAACGCGUAAUCAACCUGCCCUUCAGAGGGGGACAACAGUUGGAAACGACUGCUAAUACCGCAUACGAUCUAAACUCGGCAUCGAGGAUAGAUGAAAGGUGGCCUCUACAUGUAAGCUAUCACUGAAGGAGGGGAUUGCGUCUGAUUAGCUAGUUGGAGGGGUAACGGCCCACCAAGGCGAUGAUCAGUAGCCGGUCUGAGAGGAUGAACGGCCACAUUGGGACUGAGACACGGCCCAGACUCCUACGGGAGGCAGCAGUGGGGAAUCUUCCGCAAUGGACGAAAGUCUGACGGAGCAACGCCGCGUGAGUGAUGACGGCCUUCGGGUUGUAAAGCUCUGUUAAUCGGGACGAAAGGCCUUCUUGCGAAUAGUGAGAAGGAUGA
rnacentral:rRNA from 1 species